GAAAAAUGGAAAGCAUCGGAGUAUUGAUGGCCUGUCCUAUGUCAUCUUACCUAGAACAAGAGCUAGAUAAGCGAUUCAAGCUCUUCCGAUUCUGGAAUGUUCCGCAGAAGAAUGAAUUCCUCAGUCAGCACGCUGAUUCCAUCCGUGCUGUCGUCGGCAACGCAUUCGCCGGCGCUGACGCUGAGCUCAUCAAUUCCCUCCCUAAGCUCGAGAUUGUUUCGAGUUUCAGUGUUGGUUUAGAUAAGAUUGAUUUGAACAAGUGUAAAGAGAAGGGGAUUAGGGUUACUAAUACUCCCGAUGUUUUGACUGAGGACGUGGCUGAUUUGGCUAUAGGGUUGAUGUUGGCCGUCCUCAGGAGGAUUUGCGAAUGCGAUCGACAUGUUAGGAAAGGGCUGUGGAAGAGCGGUGAUUUCAAGUUGACUUCUAAGUUUAGUGGCAAAUCAGUGGGUAUUAUAGGAUUGGGAAGGAUUGGAUUGGCAAUUGCUAAGAGAGCGGAGGCUUUUGGCUGUCCAAUUAGUUACUACACGAGAUCAGAAAAGCCAAAUACAAAUUAUAAGUAUUAUCCAAGUGUAGUUGAGUUGGCUUCCAAUUGCCAGAUUCUGGUUGUGGCAUGUGCACUGACUCCUGAGACUCGUCAUAUUGUCAACCGUGAGGUCAUGGAAGCUUUGGGAUCAAAGGGAAUUCUGAUUAACAUUGGCCGUGGUCCUCAUGUUGAUGAAAAAGAGCUUGUAUCUGCUCUUCUUGAAGGCCGAUUAGGGGGUGCUGGCCUUGAUGUGUUUGAGAAUGAGCCU
rnacentral:misc_RNA from 1 species